rfam:Dipodomys ordii contig_26922, whole genome shotgun sequence.
UGGGGUGUAGCUCAGUGGCAAAGCACUUGCCUAGCAAGCGCAACAUCCUGGGUUCGAUCCCCAGUACCAAAA